rnacentral:misc_RNA from 1 species
CACAAUUCUUAUUAACAAUAAAAGCUUAGAUGCUAUAUACAUUUAACAGUAGGAAUAUGUACAACAAUUUGACAUUAGUUGUUGUAUAAUACAACUCUUGCAAGUUACACUGGGGAUGCUAAACUAAUAUGCAAAAGGAAAUAUUUAUCGCCUUUGGUAAUUGAAGAACUUGAUGCAAAUGGCAAAGAUAAAUGCAAAGAGUAUGGCAAAGCCAACGACUGCAGCUGCAACAGCUCCUACAAGCUCAUGUUUGAAAUCAAAGUAACUUCUCACAAAAUCUUCCACUGUUUCAUCGGACUCAAGUGUCUGCUUUAUAUCUCCGAAUUGUGACGAAACUAAUCCAUAUAAUGUGUAUGCCACCGGAGAUGCCCAAGCAUACCAUCUCCACCACACAGGAAUCCUCUGUCGUGGACAAAGUUCAGAAAUGAAAGAAUAUUAUCAGAAUAUGAGCAUUAGAGAAGCCUGGAAUUAGCAGAAUUGCUAGAGCAGACACUUACUGGUCGUGGGAUUAUAAAUCCUGAAAACAGAGACCAUAUUGAAUAAAAUGCAGAGGAAACUAUGGAUGCAACGUGUUGGUUUGGUGUCGCAGCCACAGACAUCAUGCCAUAGAAGGUGUAGUACAAUAAUGUGAAGUACAUGAAGAAUAGGUACCAGAAGAACUUAGCAGCACUCCAUUCAAAUCCAAUCAUUGCAU